AAACAUCAAGUGCUUCAGCUUUGUCUGAUGUGUUGAACAAAGCGAAGCCAUACUUGGCUAUCAUAUCUCUGCAGUUUGGAUAUGCCGGGAUGUACAUCCUCUCCACCAUUUGCAUGAAGCAUGGCAUGAGUAAUUUCAUCCUCGCUACCUACCGUCAUGUUGUCGCCACCAUUGUCAUUGCACCCUUUGCCUUUGUCCUUGAAAGGUUCAUUUUUCUCCCCAAUCUCACUACACACUUUCAUGUAUAGACAUGUAUAUAUAAUCCCCAGCCUCGUUGCUGCCUUUGCCAUUCGUUUGUGUAUGCAGGAAAAUUAGGCCAAAGAUGACCCUGCCUAUCUUCCUCAGGAUUGUGGUUCUUGGCUUCCUGGAGUAUUGCUCUAAACUUAUUGCAUCUUUAUUGUGCAUUUACUAAAUGCAUGUCAUUUCUUGAUAUAUCUAUGGAUACAAUAUGAAGAAAUAGAGUUGACAGUGGAAUAUAUAUGCGCAGGCCAGUGCUUGACCAAAACUUAUACUAUCUGGGAAUGAAGUUCACAACAGCAACAUAUUCAUCUGCUUUCGUCAACAUGCUUCCUGCUGUUACUUUCAUAAUGGCCAUGAUUUUCAGGUAAAAUCCAUCACUUUCAUUAACAUAUGCCACCUCCCACUACACCACACCACAUCAGAUAACUUAAAAGGUUCCAUCAUGAUGUUCAUACCAUCGAUAAGAUUGAAGGAAACUAUCAUUUUUUAAUACGAGGAAUUAUUUAUGUCAAAUAGGUUGGAGAAAAUCAAUUUGAAGAAAAUACACAGUAUUGCAAAGGUGGUUGGAACUGCAAUCACAGUGGGGGGUGCAAUGGUGAUGACAUUGUAUAAAGGCCCCAUUAUUGACUUCGUCAAGUCAGGAGGAGCCACACACCAUAGCACUAAUACUGAAUCUGCAGAUCAACACUGGGUUUCUGGCACCAUUAUGCUUCUUGGAAGUAUCGCUGGCUGGUCAAGCUUCUUUAUUUUGCAAGUGAGUUGAAAUAUGUCAAGUCUCUUUCAAUAAACAAAAUUUAUUAAACUACUUUACUGUUUACGAGCUAACGUUAAUCGGUUAUUGUUUCUGGUUCAGUCCUUCACAUUGAAGAAGUACCCAGCAGAGCUCUCUCUUACAGCUUGGAUAUGUUUCAUGGGAACGGUGCAAGAUGCAGGGCUGUCAUUUAUCAUGGUUCGUGACCUAAGUGCCUGGAAAAUAGGCUUCGACUCCAGGCUUCUUGCUGCAUCUUACUCUGUAAGUCCCUUUUCUUACCAGCCAUGAUGCUCUCGAAAAGUGUUACGAAUCACAAGUGCUUAACACUUCAAUAUAACCUAUGAUUGAUUAGGGAAUAGUGUGCUCCGGGAUAGCCUAUUACGUGCAAGGCAUCGUGAUCCGGCAAAGAGGGCCGGUUUUUGUAACAGCUUUCAGCCCCCUGUGCAUGAUCAUCACUGCUGCGCUAGGGACCGUUAUUUUAGCUGAAAAAAUCCACCUUGGAAGGUAUGUAUGAUAUUAACAGCAGUCUAAAAUUUCCUGCAUUAAACAAUUAGUGUUCUAAUUCUCUGCUUUUAUUAACCAUCCAUUAAACAAUUUAGAAGUCUUAUUCAUUUAGUGGAUUUCUGCAUUGGUAUUCCUUGUUUCACAUUGCUCAUUUGUUUCUUCUUUAUCUUUUGAUUGGUUGAUUUCAGCAUACUGGGAGCCAUUAUCAUAGUCUCAGGCCUUUACACUGUGGUUUGGGGCAAAAGCAAAGAUGUGAAAACCCCAGAACUUGAAGGGAAAAGCAACGGCCUGCAGGAAUUGCCAAUCACAGACAAUGGUAGAUCAAUGAAUGUUGUUGAUGGAGCUGCGAAUGCUGUUAACAUUCCGGAUUCAAAGAACACCUACAGCACUCGAGGAACAUAAAACAAUAUUGAUAUUUCCUUCAAAAUGCUGAUAUAUUUCAAGCAGAGUUUGUUCUUCCCAAGGCGAUAAAAAACUACUAUGUAACCCACCCCUCCCACAAACUAUUUUCUACCUUUAAUAAUCAUCUUUUGAUUGUACUGUUGAGGCUAAUUUGGUGAGUAAAAACCAUGAAUCAAUCGCGGUUUGCUUAUGCUUUCCCCCAAUUAUUCCAUUUCCGUACUUCUUUUUUUCUUUUUGGCUUAAGCUCAUCGGAUACUAUAACAAAAAGAUCUACUGCAAAAGUCAAAAUAACUUGCUCCAUGAAUUUUACUGCUAUCUCAAACUUUCCACGUUCAUCAUUUGUUCAAGCGUAUGGAGCUUUUUUUGCUUCUUUUUCACAUCCUGAUAGCUACAUUGCUAUAUAUUUGCUCUUCUUGUUUAUGACUUCGCAAGGUGAAGAUAUAAAAGCUAAAAGAAAAGGUUAAAUUCUGCAAUUAGUCCCUGCACUUUGAGAAAGUUGUGGGUUUAAUCCAUGUACUUUAAUUUGAUUAUUUCUAGUCCCUGUACUUUUCAAAAUUUAAAUUUUCAGUCGUAAUCAAACAAUAACUGUUAAAUUCAUUAACUUCUGCUAUUUCUAAAAUUUGAUCUCCAAAUAUAUUAUCAUGUGUGUAAUACCAUGUCAACUUGUUAUUUCCACAUAUUACUCACUAAAAAUCCAGUUGAUGGAUUAACGACGGUCAUUUAUGUCAAGACUGAAAUUUUAAAAUUCAAAAAGUAAAGAGACUUAGAAUGAUCCAAUUAAAGAAUACAAACCAAAUUUACAAUUAUACGUGUGGUACAAUACUAGUAAUUACAACUAUUUGAGUAAGGACUAAAAUUAACCAAUUAAAAACAACUAGGAUUGAAAUUGAUCAAAUUAAAGCAUAAGGGCUAAAUUCACAAUUAAGAAAAUAGCUUAAACCCAUUAUUGGUUUUUAACUAUUUAAUCAUACCAACGUGAUAAUGUUUGAUACAUUGAUGGUAUAUAAUCUAAUCCAACAAUGCAUUAAAUAUAAAUCCAUUAGAAGGUUGCAUUCCCACGUUCUUCCUAAUAAACUUAUUUUAAUAGCAACAUUUUCUUUUACUGGAAGUCAUUCCAGUCGCUCAAUUGCUUGCUUAAACCCCGUUGCUGGUUUUUAAUUGUUUAAUCAUAUGGAACAUUCCACUUUGUUUAUGAUUAACCUAUUUUAAUAGCAGUAUUUUCAUUUUACGAAACUGAUUCACUUGAAAACAUUUUUUUCUUAAAUUUAAUUUUAUGGAUUCUUAUUCUCCGCUAUAUAUCUCCCUUAAUUGCGGUUGUUGGUUCUUGGGAAUGUCACACAAACAUACCUGCAGACAAGUCUUCACUAAAAGAAUGGAAACGCAAGCCUCUGCGUACACUCCACAUGAUGGUAUUUUGAAUAAGAAGUUGGAAUACUAUGCAUAAAGAAACUAGACAAGUGGGUUGCAGCUUCUAAUGCUAUUUCAUCACAACAAAUUGGUAGGGGCUAUAAUAAAGGAGUCAAGAAUUGACAAUUCUAAGUUGGAUACCUAGUUUUAAGGUGUUGUGAAGCAAUACCAAACUAGCAGGAGAAUGCAAAAAAACUCUCACCAACACUUGGGAAAACAAUGUUGAACUUUCACGAGAUUAGUGGUGCUUAUACAAGCUUAAGAAUUCACAACUAUACCAAUAGGCAUGAUACCAUUUAUGCAAAAAACUACAAUAUUCAGUACUUUUAAAUAUACACUAGCCAUGUUUAGGCUUAUAUUCAAAUUACUACCAUAUUAUCUAUUAGUAAAUCUUACUCUAUAACUUUCUCCAUAUUUCCUUUUGAAACUUUAACUAUAAUAUCGUUUUGCUUUGACGGUGAAUUCUUUUUACUAUGAAAUUGUACUGUGUACACUAUGUAUUCGGCCUGGAAGAUCAUAUUAAUUAACUAAAAUCACUCUUAAAGAGAAGAUUCCUCCCCCACACAUCAAUUACAUGCCUUAACCCAGUAUUUUAAUACUCAUCAUUGUAUUCACUGCCCCCACUCAUAUUUCAACAACAUUUUUGGUCCAACAGAUAUUUAGUGAAAUGCGGAUUCUAUCUCCCAUGAAUUCAAAUAAGUAACUUGGUUGUGUAUUAAUAAUCUUUGAACCAUUUAUUUUGAUUAAAAGUAUUUGAAUUUUAUCAUGUCAUAUUUAAAUAUACGUCAUGAUGGACACGAACAUUUUAAAAUAAAACUUGAUAGAUAAGGAUAGGUAAGGCAUAAUAAAAGGAUGUUUUUUUUUUCUGAAAGAUGCAAAACAAGUGGUUGCUCCAAAUUUGUGCUACGUAAAAAGGGUAGCAAUUUAUUGAGAGUGAAGUGAAAUGAAGAGACAAGAAGCAGGGGCAGGAAUAAGAAUAGUUGUAUGUUAUUUUUAUGCAAACAUUCGAAGCUAUAUUGAGAAGAUAUAAAGUGAGAGAUGCCUAAUCUAAUUAGUGAUUAUUAAUCAGCAACCACUUAAAUCCAAUUAUCAUCUUAAAUUCUUAUUAUUCUAAUCUUACGAAGAAUUCCAGAUAUCCGAACUUGAGCAAUAUUCAGUUUGGGAAGAUGCUCUAAGCAAUAUAAUGUUUGUCUAAUCAUAAAUAUAUUAUUCUUUGUCGACGUCACUUGCACUAAUUACAUUAGUUUUGUUCUCUGUCCUUUCUGAAAGAUGCUACCAUUUCUAUAUUUCUAAGCUUACAAUUUAUUACCCCUUUGUAAAAACUCUAUUAACAAAUGGGUACGGUUCAACCAAUUAGGUUUCUAAUUUUCAGUUUAAAAUAUUAAAUGUAAAUAACGAUUGUGAACGGGGUUUAAAGUUAUACUAGUUGGGGAGAGGGGAUGACUCACCUUUAACUAGUUGAAGUGAUUGGUAUUAGAGAAUCACUUUUUUAAUUAAAACCUCUUCAGUUGGAUCGAGUUAUUGCGGAAUUGGAUUGUUUAUUGGUAUGAUUCUUGACGAUUGUUUUAUGUUACGAUCAUAUUUUAGAUCGUUGUCCUUCCAAUGGACUUGUUGGGAUGUUAAUAAAGUAGUCUUACUACAUGCAAACCACACUAAAUGAAAUAUACUCCCCACUAAAUACUUUGAUUACUAUUGAUUUGAUUCUUUGAUGCAUCAUGAGAAUAAAGGACCACGAAUGAAAUGUAUGGGAUAAAUCUAUUGACUUGGGUUAAUUAUCCCUCGCCUAUGUCUCUUGUGUUUGCUUUUAUUUUUACCAAUCAGUUGCCAUGAGUUCUACCAAAUCAGUUUUUUAACUGACAAUAAAAAAAAGAAUUGGAAAGUGAAAACAAGGAGACCAUAAUGAGGGUGAAUUCCGUGAGUAACUGGUUUUAGGGAAGCAGUUGAUUUUGGAAAUGGUAGCCACGCAAAAGCCACAUUGUUUCUUUCUGCAUGCAACAUCCGCACUUAACCUAAACAUAAUUUGGUUGUUCAAUGAAUCCAAACCCCACUUCCCAUGAUAAAUAGUGUAAUUAAAUUAAACAAACGAGAAGUAAAAGGAAAGCAAAAGGCAAAAGAAUCAUAUGAACAGAUAGCCACAUAAACACCCGCCUUUUUUUAUUUUAUUCUUUUGAUUUUCAUCAGCAAAGCGAUGGUAUUCGAAAUGAUUUGUGAUAAUGAGGAAUUUUUUAAUCUUUAUUAGUGGAUAAGUGAGUUUUACAUUUAUGGGAAACACUACACUUGCUUCUAUUAAUUUAUUAUUAUUAUUUUGUGUUUGCAUUUUUCUCCCUAUAAGAAGGCCAAUUCUGAUUUAUAACUUCCAAGCCUCAGUGCAAGCGGUGGUGGAGAGAUAGAAGAGAGAAAAAUGGGGGACCAAACAUCAGGUGCAGCAGCUUCCUCUAAUGUGUUGAACAAAGCGAAGCCAUACUUGGCUAUCAUCUCCCUGCAGUUUGGAUAUGCAGGGAUGUACAUCCUCUCCACCAUUUGUAUGAAGCAUGGCAUGAGUAAUUUCAUUCUUGCUACCUACCGUCAUGUUGUCGCCACCAUUGUCAUUGCACCCUUUGCCUUUUUCCUUGAAAG
rnacentral:lncRNA from 1 species